GCCUUCGUGAUAUAGUGGUCAGCACGCUGGGCGCGUAUUCCGGAUGUCCGUGGUUCGAAUCCCGGCGAAGGCG
rnacentral:tRNA from 1 species